CGUAGGGUGCGAGCGUUAAUUGGAAUUACUGGGCGUAAAGCGUGCGUAGGCGGUUCGUUAAGUCAGCUGUGAAAGCCCCGGGCUCAACCUGGGAACUGCGGUUGAAACUGGCGAACUAGAAUCUGGCAGAGGGGGUGGAAUUCCACGUGUAGCAGUGAAAUGCGUAGAGAUGUGGAGGAACACCGAUGGCGAAGGCAGCCCCCUGGGCUGAGAUUGACGCUCAGGCACGAAAGCGUGGGGAGCAAACAGGAUUAGAUACCCUGGUAGUCCACGCCCUAAACGAUGUCAACUAGGUGUUGGAGGAGCAAUCCUUUGGUACCGCAGCUAACGCGUGAAGUUGACCGCCUGGGGAGUACGGUCGCAAGAUUA
rnacentral:rRNA from 1 species